rnacentral:rRNA from 1 species
UACGGAGGGGGCUAGCGUUGUUCGGAAUUACUGGGCGUAAAGCGCGCGUAGGCGGACCUGCAAGUCGGGGGUGAAAGCCCGAGGCUCAACCUCGGAACUGCCUUCGAUACUGCGGGUCUCGAGUCCGGGGAGAGGUGAGUGGAACUGCGAGUGUAGAGGUGAAAUUCGGUAGAUAUUCGCAAGAACACCAGUGGCGAAGGCGGCUCAGCUGGCCCGGUACUGACGCCGUGAGGUGACGAAAGGACGUGGGGAGCAAACAGG